UGGGGAAUAUUGCACAAUGGGCGCAAGCCUGAUGCAGCAACGCCGCGUGAGGGAUGACGGCCUUCGGGUUGUAAACCUCUUUUAGCAGGGAAGAAGCGAAAGUGACGGUACCUGCAGAAAAAGCACCGGCUAACUACGUGCCAGCAGCCGCGGUAAUACGUAGGGUGCAAGCGUUGUCCGGAAUUAUUGGGCGUAAAGAGCUCGUAGGCGGUCUGUCGCGUCUGCUGUGAAAUCCCGAGGCUCAACCUCGGGCCUGCAGUGGGUACGGGCAGACUAGAGUGCGGUAGGGGAGAAUGGAACUCCUGGUGUAGCGGUGGAAUGCGCAGAUAUCAGGAAGAACACCGAUGGCGAAGGCAGUUCUCUGGGCCGUAACUGACGCUGAGGAGCGAAAGCGUGGGGAGCGAACAGGAUUAGAUACCCUGGUAGUCCACGCCGUAAACGUUGGGCGCUAGAUGUGGGGACCAUUCCACGGUUUCCGUGUCGCAGCUAACGCAUUAAGCGCCCCGCCUGGGGAGUACGGCCGCAAGGCUAAAACUCAAAGGAAUUGAC
rnacentral:rRNA from 1 species